rnacentral:rRNA from 1 species
CUGCUGCCUUCCGUAGGAGUCUGGUCCGUGUCUCAGUACCAGUGUGGGGGACCUUCCUCUCAGAACCCCUACGCAUCGUCGCCACGGUGGGCCGUUACCCCGCCGUCUAGCUAAUGCGCCGCAUGCCCAUCCUCUUCCGAUGAAUCUUUCCUCGAUCUCGGAUGCCCGAAACCGAUAUACGCGGGAUUAGCCUCCCUUUCGGAAGGUUGUCCCCCUGAAGAGGGCAGGUUGCAUACGUGUUACUCACCCGUGCGCCGGUCGCCGG